GCAGCUACCAUGCAGUCGAGCGGGGAAGGUAGCUUGCUACCUAACCUAGCGGCGGACGGGUGAGUAAUGCUUAGGAAUCUGCCUAUUAGUGGGGGACAACAUUCCGAAAGGAAUGCUAAUACCGCAUACGCCCUACGGGGGAAAGCAGGGGAUCUUCGGACCUUGCGCUAAUAGAUGAGCCUAAGUCAGAUUAGCUAGUUGGUGGGGUAAAGGCCUACCAAGGCGACGAUCUGUAGCGGGUCUGAGAGGAUGAUCCGCCACACUGGGACUGAGACACGGCCCAGACUCCUACGGGAGGCAGCAGUGGGGAAUAUUGGACAAUGGGCGCAAGCCUGAUCCAGCCAUGCCGCGUGUGUGAAGAAGGCCUUUUGGUUGUAAAGCACUUUAAGCGAGGAGGAGGCUACUUGGAUUAAUACUCUUGGAUAGUGGACGUUACUCGCAGAAUAAGCACCGGCUAACUCUGUGCCAGCAGCCGCGGUAAUACAGAGGGUGCGAGCGUUAAUCGGAUUUACUGGGCGUAAAGCGUGCGUAGGCGGCUUUUUAAGUCGGAUGUGAAAUCCCUGAGCUUAACUUAGGAAUUGCAUUCGAUACUGGGAAGCUAGAGUAUGGGAGAGGAUGGUAGAAUUCCAGGUGUAGCGGUGAAAUGCGUAGAGAUCUGGAGGAAUACCGAUGGCGAAGGCAGCCAUCUGGCCUAAUACUGACGCUGAGGUACGAAAGCAUGGGGAGCAAACAGGAUUAGAUACCCUGGUAGUCCAUGCCGUAAACGAUGUCUACUAGCCGUUGGGGCCUUUGAGGCUUUAGUGGCGCAGCUAACGCGAUAAGUAGACCGCCUGGGGAGUACGGUCGCAAGACUAAAACUCAAAUGAAUUGACGGGGGCCCGCACAAGCGGUGGAGCAUGUGGUUUAAUUCGAUGCAACGCGAAGAACCUUACCUGG
rnacentral:rRNA from 1 species